UACGAAGGGGGCUAGCGUUGCUCGGAAUUACUGGGCGUAAAGCGCACGUAGGCGGCUUUCUAAGUCGGGGGUGAAAUCCUGGAGCUCAACUCCAGAACUGCCUUUGAUACUGGCGAUCUUGAGUCCGGUAGAGGUGAGUGGAACUGCGAGUGUAGAGGUGAAAUUCGUAGAUAUUCGCAAGAACACCAGUGGCGAAGGCGGCUCGCUGGCCCGGUACUGACGCUGAGGGGCGAAAGCGUGGGGAGCAAACAGG
rnacentral:rRNA from 1 species